AUUGAACGCUGGCGGCAGGCCUAACACAUGCAAGUCGAACGAGUGGCGGACGGGUGAGUAAUGUCUGGGACACUGCCUGAUGGAGGGGGAUAACUACUGGAAACGGUAGCUAAUACCGCAUACCAUCGGAUGUGCCCAGAUGGGAUUAGCUGGUUGGUGGGGUAACGGCUCACCAAGGCGACGAUCCCUAGCUGGUCUGAGAGGAUGACCAGCCAAACUGGAACUGAGACACGGUCCAGACUCCUACGGUAGGCAGCAGUGGGGAAUAUUGGACAAUGGGCGCAAGCCUGAUGCAGCAAUGCCGAGUGUAUGAAGAAGGCAGUCGGGUUGUAAAGUACUUUCAGCGGGGAGGCGUUACCCGAAGAAGAAGCACCGGCUAACUCCGUGCCAGCCGCCGCGGUAAUUC
rnacentral:rRNA from 1 species